CCCAGCCCUUCGCAACCAAACAUGAGUGUAUACAUUUCUCUCAGAUUCACAAAUCCGAGCCAUCCAUCAGGUGGGUCCCACUGUGAUGCCCUGACCCAAAAACCAAUCCAGUCCGCUCAUCAGGCGAGCCACAAAAUAGGGGACACAUGGACAGCUAAAAAAAACCCACCCGAGUUUUUCUAGACAUCAAUUUGUUUCAAACACCAUUCCCCACCAGAUGAUUGAACCAGGCUGAUUUUUGGAAUCACGGUGAGGCCACCCUGACCGACGCCUUAAGAUCCAAACAUGCGUGCAAUGUUGGCAGUAGUAGUGGAAUGUAGAGGGGCUGGGCUGGGAUAUUCAUGGGAGCAUUAGCAUUCUCUCCAUGCAAAAAGAUUAGAAAGAAAAAAAAAACAAA